rnacentral:rRNA from 1 species
AGUGAACGCUGGCGGUAGGCCUAACACAUGCAAGUCGAACGGCAGCACAGUAAGAGUUUGCUCUUACGUGUGGCGCGUGGCGGACGUGUGUAGAAUACAUCGGAAUCUAUUUUUUCGUGGGGGAUCACGUAGGGACACUUACGCUAAUACCGCAUACUACCUACGCGUGAAAGCAGGGGAUCUUCGCACCUUGCGCGAUUGUAUGAGCCGAUGUCGGAUUAGCUAGUUGGCGGGGUAAAGGCCCACCAAGGCGACGAUCCGUAGCUGGUCUGAGAGGAUGAUCAGCCACACUGGAACUGAGACACGGUCCAGACUCCUACGGGAGGCAGCAGUGGGGAAUAUUGGACAAAGGGCGCAAGCCUGAUCCAGCCAUACCGCGUGGGUGAAGAAGGCCUUCGGGUUGUAAAGCACUUUUGUUGGGAAAGAAAAGCAGCAGGUUAAUACCCCGAUGUUCUGACGGUACCCAAAGAAUAAGCACCGGCUAACUUCGUG